CUCUAUGAGGUCUGUUUAUACUCGAAUUCACGUACUUUACUCUAAAUGAAUUAUAUAUGUGAAGGUGAAGCUGAUUUGAUAAAAUAUAUUUUGUUUUUUGAUUAAUUAAUCCCGUUAAACAAUUUCUAAAUUCAGUCAUUCGAGACUUGAUUCUAACAUUUUUGGUGAAAUAACGGCUGAUUUGAUUGAGUCCUUUUGAGAAAGAAACUUCAAGUGUUGUUGUGCUUAAAUUACAAUGUUGUUUGAAUUCUUGUUUCCAAAUAAAAAAGAAAGAGAAGCUUUACUAUUGUUGUGAAGCAUACAAAAAGGGGAUGAAUCAUGAAAAGUAAAGGACAUGAUUAUGAUGAUUACAUGAAUAUAUGCACCUGCUUGCAACUCAUGCAAAUAUUUAUAUAUGGGUUUUACUAACUUAGUAUUUGGCUAUAGUGAGUGAGAACGAUUUACCUUACUAACCUACUGUUUUUGGUGUGUCAAAAAUCUGAAGUUCUAUUCUGCUUACUAGAGAAUUAGUGUUUAAAAUGAUCACGGAAAUAAAAGAAUUAUGAAAGGUACUUAUUUGUAAACAAGCUUUAUUAACUUUGGUGUCCUGAAUAUACCUUUUCCUUUUCGGUUGCAUUGGCAUAAGAAGUUUACCUAUGCAAGAGAUGUUUUUAUUCCCGCUUGGCUUGUGAUGAAAAUUUCUCUAAACUCAGAUCUUGGUGUGGCUCAUAGAAAAACUUUUCCCACAUGCUGCCUCCUGCCAAACAAGUUCACAAGGGUUCUCCCCAGUGAUGGCUGUAUGGUGUUUAUUUUAGAAUGCAAAAAGGAGAAUAAUGGUUGAUUAUGAAUAAAAUGAGUUAGAUGAUCCUAUCUCACCCAUAGAAUGCUAAGAAAUUUUAGGUCAUUAAUUAGGUAACUAUCAAUACAUAGAUUCUCUAGGGUGCUGAAAUAGUCUAUAGGACUGUCUAACUGACCUUGUUCUUUAUCGGCUGUUUUUCCUUCUUUUCAUGUGCCAACUUCAACAUCUGAAAGUUAUUGCUGGUGUACCCUAAACACCCUUUUCAUAUAGGACAUUGCACAUUACAAGAGAUCUUGUAGCCACACCAUGUUCCGACUUUAGAUGAAUUUCAUACUCCUUCAGGUUGUAAUCUUAUGGCUGCUUUCUCUAUCAUAUGGCAUUGUCACAGUCAAAUUAUUUUUCAAUCAUUUACCUUCCACAGUAUAAUUCUUGUUAGUAGUUGCAAAUUAUUAUUAUCAUAUAUUUAAAUCCACAAUUUACUGUUGCUCCUUAUAUUCACACUCAUAAGAUAGUACAGAGCAAUAAUAGCUGACUUUUAUCAUGAAACAGUUGCAUCGUAAUCGUUAGUCCUCUAACCUCUUUCUUAAUGGUUUUUGUAUCUGUAUAUGGACAUGGAUGUUGAAGUAAUCUUCUUGUUCUAAUGCAUUCCUGCACAUGUUACAAGAUGCUAUUUUAACUUCAAGUUCCUUUUUUCAGAGUUUCACCGAAUGGGAGUAUCUGUUUCUGGGACUUUUUUCGGCACUCCCUGCGGUUAUUGUACCAAUGGUUCUGGUUGGAAAGGUGGAUUACUCAAUGUUUCUUUCCAAUUUAUUUAUAUUUCAUUUCCAGAAGUG
rnacentral:lncRNA from 1 species